UACGGAAGGCAGCAGUGGGGAAUAUUGCACAAUGGGCGCAAGCCUGAUGCAGCCAUGCCGCGUGUAUGAAAAAGGCCUUCGGGUUGUAAAGUACUUUCAGUCGUGAGGAAGGUGUUAAGGUUAAUAACCUUAGCAAUUGACGUUAGCGACAGAAGAAGCACCGGCUAACUCCGUGCCAGCAGCCGCGGUAAUACGGAGGGUGCGAGCGUUAAUCGGAAUUACUGGGCGUAAAGGGCACGCAGGCGGUUAAUUAAGUUGGAUGUGAAAUCCCCGGGCUUAACCUGGGAAUGGCAUUCAAGACUGGUUAGCUAGAGUCUUGUAGAGGGGGGUAGAAUUCCAUGUGUAGCGGUGAAAUGCGUAGAGAUGUGGAGGAAUACCGGUGGCGAAAGGGCGGCCCCUGGACAAAGGACUGACGCUCAUGUGCGAAAAGCGUGGGGAGCAAAACAGGGAUUAGAUACC
rnacentral:rRNA from 1 species